AUGGCCGACGCGUCCGCCUUCCCCUACGGGCUGCGCGUCCUCGUCGUCGACGACGACCCCACCUGGCUCAAGAUACUCGAGAAGAUGCUCCGCAAGUGCUCCUACGAAGGUUCGAAUCUUCGCCUGCUUUCCUCUUCGGGUUCUCGAUCGGCUUGGCGUGGCGGCUACGCCGUCGCCUCCUCUCCUGUGGGUGUAUGUGCAUCCGUCCGUCGCCUAUGCAUGUCUGUUACCACUUGCGGCCUAGCUAGAGUUGCUCUUGAAAUUCUCCGGGAGAGGAAAAACAGGUUCGACAUUGUGAUUAGUGAUGUCAACAUGCCAGAUAUGGAUGGCUUCAAGCUUCUUGAACACAUUGGACUUGAGAUGGAUCUACCUGUUAUAAUGAUGUCCAUUGAUGGGGAGACAAGUAGGGUGAUGAAAGGUGUCCAGCAUGGUGCUUGCGAUUACCUCCUUAAGCCCGUUCGGAUGAAGGAACUCCGGAACAUUUGGCAACACGUAUACAGGAAGAAAAUGCACGAGGUUAAAGAGAUCGAAGGUCAUGAUAGCUGUGAUGAUCUCCAGAUACUAAGAUAUGGUUUCGAGGGAUUUGAUGAGAAGGGCCUAUUUAUGACAGUUGAUUCCGAUGCCACGAGGAAGAGAAAAGAUGUGGACCACGGAGAUCAGGACUCCAGUGACGGUGCUACUGCUAAAAAGGCUAGAGUAGUCUGGUCUGUUGAUCUGCAUCAGAAGUUUGUAAAUGCUGUGAACCAAAUUGGAUUCGACAAAGUGGGGCCGAAGAAAAUAUUGGACCUGAUGAACGUGCCGGGCUUAACAAGAGAGAAUGUUGCUAGCCAUCUUCAGAAAUAUCGCCUAUACUUGGGGAGGCUGCAAAAGCAGAACGAGGAAAGGAUAUUGGGCUCUGCUAGGCAAGAUUUCAGCACUAAGGGACCAUCAUCAGAGAACCUUAACCUCAGAAGCUCCUUCCAAGAGCAACCAAGCAACACUUCCAGUGGAUAUCCACAUGCUUCCCAGAAGAUACAAGGCCAGAGCAGUGUGUCAGAUUCUCAGUUAGAAGAAACCAAGCGCACGGUCCCCUUACCGGCGCCAGAUAGAAGCAUGAAUUCUGUAAGUUCAGCUGCCGAACCUCAGAAUGUUGCCGGUGUUUCACCAAUAGGCGGCGUGCUGUCGUUCAAAGGUUUGCCAGUGAAUCAGGACAGGAAGCCAUCAGAAACCAUGAUCCUGGAAUGCCAGGCCUGGACUGGAGGAGUGCCAGCAAAGCAGUUCAUGCAGUACCCAAAGCACAACCAUGCACGCUGCGACUUGUUAGGGGAUUAUGCAUGCCUACCAAAGCCAGACUUGGAACACCCCACUGCUCCUGGCCAUUUGUUUACACCACCGCCGCUUAUCUCAAUGAGUUGCAGUACGGAGAUGGACGCCAGAAACUUCUCAGAUGUGAAGCCAGCCCUUCUUGACUGCAUCAAGUCCUUCUCCCCGGCGUUGACAUGUACAGCUGAUUCGGUUUCUGUUCAGAUCAGUGACAGUGUUGUGACCUCAACCGAUGCUGCUGACCGGAAGUUUUCCAGUGUGGAAGGUCUGCCUAGCACUAAAGAUUGUUACUUCGGCCAGACAAGCAACCAAGGCUCCUGGCUUCGUUCGCAAGAGGAGCCAAGCAUCAUAUGCGGGGCGGAUUUUGCUUCUCUGCCCGAGGAUCUCCCCGGCUACCCACUUCAAGGAGGUGUCUCCUUUGAGAAUGUAGGGCUGAGUAGCAUUGAUUUGUUUCACUACAAUGACGCGAUGAUACUAUCUGGGCUACAAAGUAACUGGUAUGAUGAUCAAGACCACUUCAGCAGCGAAACGACGGACUACCCGUUGAUGGAUGGAUGCCUCUUUGCAUAA
rnacentral:rRNA from 1 species